GUGCACUCUGAAACUCCGGAAGUUUUUACGUACCCGGGAACGAGAAUAGCAACACUGACGCACUCGGACUGCACUAGAUGCUUCUAGAGCUUUCACUGAGCUUCCAGGGACCUGCAAGAGAGCAGCCGGUUUGAAUAGGGGGCGCCAAAGCUAAUGCUAUCAGGGGCAGUAAUGUAAUAUGAACCUGCAGGCCCGGAGACCCAACAACGCUCUCAGGAUCCUGGCUUUUUUGAGACAGCGUCUCCUACCGACUGGAGGACUAACUGCACCCUCAGGACGAUUUCAGCACUUGGCACAGCAAACGGAUCAAAGCUGUCUACUGCUUUGAGAUCUAUGGGAACGGAGAUCCGGCCUGGAAGAUGAAAGAAAAACUUAGAGCAUAUUCACCUGUUUUGGGAUGGACACUGAAUGGACUCUUGAGCAGAUGGUUCACCCCUUUGCUGACAUUCACGUCGAGCCGCGGGUAACAGUACUGCAGCAUGAUUUCUUUCUCAAAAUGCUGGCCUUUUUUUAC